AAUAAAACGUUCAGAUUAGGCUGGUGUAAAUACGCACUUUGCUUCAACUACUACGGGAAUAGGGAUGUUGCGCUCGUGAUUGGCACGUGGUCAAGAUUUCUGGUUUGAAAGGCCUCGACUGUGUGAAGUCUGUUUAUCAAACUAAAGACCAUUUAACUAUGACAUUAUCAGCUAAUCAUCAGUAAUGACGGCAGCUAACAGCUAGCUAAGUUGGCUCAGUAAAGCUAGUGGUCGACAGCUCUUUAUUCUCUUUAUGGGCCAGGACAUGAAGCCAGAGUGAAGCAGCCAUGCAGACGGUAAUAGCGCGGGAGUUUUGAGCUGCGAUGAAACCGAAUCAUUUUCAACAGCAGGAUUACAAAAUACCACCUCAAUGUUCUCUCUCUAAUGAGCUGUUUCAUUACCACCUCACGAACAUGCAGACUGAGAGAAUAUCACUGCUCUACCAGGACACUCAGUACAAUUUAUAACCACAGCUUGUAACCGGAUAUGAGACUGGAGUGAACACCUUGACCAUCAAAACAUGUGCUGCUGGGACUGAUGGAGUCUGGCCUGCUGAGAGGAUGUUCUACGUGAACAAAGUCAAAGAAGAAGCUCUUCCAAAGGGACAAAGCCAUGACGGGUGCCUCCAGGUCGGCCUCAGCGGAUGGCGCUCUGGGUGUCUGGCACGACUCGUCAUCGUCAUCACUGAGGAUGUCUGUCUCCUUCACCUCUUCCCGGUCCUCGUAUUCUUCUAGGUCAAACUGUUCUUCCACCCAGCGGUCUGUGUCACCUGCUAACUCAGGCUGCUGCAGCUGAACAGAUCUGGAACCAGCCUGGUCCCGUCUUCCAGGGUCUUGAGAAACUCAACCUGAAACUCCACCAUUUCCGCGGUGUUCCCAAACAGUACAUCCAGCUGGAGGAAAAGGACAUUUGAGCAAAGUCAAAAUAAAUUCUCC